rnacentral:rRNA from 1 species
GAUGAACGCUAGCUAUAGGCUUAACCCAUGCACGUCGAGGGACCGGCGCACGGGUGAGUAACGCGUAUCCAACCUACCCAUAACUAAGGGAUAACCCAGCGAAAGUUGGACUAAUACCUUCUGGUUAUGGCUGGGGUUGCGUCUGCUUAGCUUGUUGGCGGGGUAACGGCACACCACGGCAACGAUCAGUAGGGGUUCGGAGAGGAAGGUCCCCCACAUUGGAACGAAGACACGGUCCAAACGCCUACUGGAGGCAGCAGUGAGGAAUAUUGGUCAAUAGACGCAAGUCUGAACCAGCCAAGUAGCGUGCAGGAUGACGGCCUAUGGGUUGUAAACUGCUUUUAUAUGGGGAUAGGUACCAUAUGAAUAAGGAACGGCUAAUUCCGUGCCAGCAGCCGCGGUAAUUC